UACGAAGGGGGCUAGCGUUGUUCGGAAUCACUGGGCGUAAAGCGCACGUAGGCGGAUUGUUAAGUCGGGGGUGAAAUCCUGAGGCUCAACCUCAGAACUGCCUUCGAUUCUGGCAAUCUCGAGUCCGGAAGAGGUUGGUGGAACAGCUAGUGUAGAGGUGAAAUUCGUAGAUAUUAGCUAGAACACCAGUGGCGAAGGCGGCCAACUGGUCCGGUACUGACGCUGAGGUGCGAAAGCGUGGGGAGCAAACAGG
rnacentral:rRNA from 1 species